rnacentral:rRNA from 1 species
UACAGAGGGGGCAAGCGUUGUUCGGAAUUACUGGGCGUAAAGGGCGCGUAGGCGGCCUUCUAAGUCAGACGUGAAAUCCCUCGGCUCAACCGGGGAACUGCGUCUGAGACUGGAUGGCUAGAGUGUGGGAGAGGGAUGCGGAAUUCCAGGUGUAGCGGUGAAAUGCGUAGAUAUCUGGAGGAACACCGGUGGCGAAGGCGGCAUCCUGGACCACGACUGACACUGAAAAGCGAAAGCCAGGGGAGCAAACGGG